GGAAGCUAAACAUUUCCUCUACUGUGGGAAGUGCUGUCGUGGGCAAUGGAGAAAAACAGAGCGCCCAAGGAAAUGCUCCUCGGGAACGAUAGCUAUUGACAGGAAUACUGUGAUUACUACUAAAAGUAAGGACCUCCAUUUGAAUGGCUGCUUGGUGAGAGCACAUCCACUUGUUCCUCUGUUCUGUGCUGGAAUAUUGGUUCGGCAAGAACACGAAAGGAAGUGUAUUGUGGAAUUGGCAGUUGAAAGUAUUAAAAAAAAAAAAAAAAAGAGUGAGAGGUUAUUUGAAAUAUUCUCUGAUGUGAGAGGAAG
rnacentral:lncRNA from 1 species